rnacentral:rRNA from 1 species
UACGGAGGAUGCAAGCGUUAUCCGGAAUGAUUGGGCGUAAAGCGUCCGCAGGUGGCAAUGUAAGUCUGCUGUUAAAGAGUCUAGCUCAACUAGAUAAAAGCAGUGGAAACUACAUAGCUAGAGUACGUUCGGGGCAGAGGGAAUUCCUGGUGUAGCGGUGAAAUGCGUAGAGAUCAGGAAGAACACCAGUGGCGAAGGCGCUCUGCUAGGCCGUAACUGACACUGAGGGACGAAAGCGUGGGGAGCAAAACGG